AAAAGCAUGAUAAAUUGUCGCAAAGAUCAUUUUCCAGCCAGGUGCAUUUUAGAGCACACGGUUGGAAAGAAAGGUUUGGAAAAAGAAGUCGACAUGUUUCUCACAAUGGACCCUUGAUUUUGGACGCAAUUUUCACUGACAGUGUCGAGAACACGAUUUGAAUACCUUUUCUAAAUUGAAUAUUCAUCAGGACAUUCCCGUGGCAGAUUGACCAAAGUAUUGUAAAAGAUAUUCUCAUCCAGCUUCAUCACACGGACAUUCCCGUGGCAGAUUGACCAAAGUAUUGUAAACAUAUUCUCACCCAGCUUCAUCACACGGGCAUUUGCGAGACGUUUUGACACCACGAUUUGAAUGAAAGACAUUUCUUCUUUGGCCUUUGUUUCGUUAUAAUUUGAUUGAUUUAGAGGAUCUUUGUAUGUUUAUUGUAAAGUUGAAGGAUAAUUCAAGAUUUUGCAUCCUGCUCUCAAAUAGUUUCAGCGAUUGAUAGGACCCCUAUUUCAUAGAUUUUCAUACCCUACUUCCAAUUGGAUUUUUACGAGGAUGUUUAUGAAACACACGGUUCCCUCAUUGUACUUUUACAGAGUUUGCCCCCUAUGCGUUAUAAACAUCUAUUAGAUUUUGCUUUAAAUGUGCUAUUUAACUUUGGAGGAUCCUCAACUCUAGCCAUUUAUUGUUACCAAUCUUGCAAUUGGUUUUUUACGAGGAUGUUGGUGAAAUACACGCCUCCCUCAUUGUGAUAUAUUUGAGGGUUUGCCUCAUAUAUUUUGAAAACAUCAGAUUUUAGAUUUUGCUUUAGUUAUGAAUUUUGUUUUGAGGAUUCUCAACUCUAGGGUUGGCUCACCAAUAGUAACUAUUAAUUGUUGUUGUUUUCAAAAUUAGCAAACAUUUUGAUAAUUAUUAUGAUGAUGAAGUA